UUUCCGUAGGUGAACCUGCGGAAGGAUCAUUCAUAAUAAAGUGUUUUAUGGCACUUUUUAAAAAUCCAUAUCCACCUUGUGUGCAAUGUUAGAUCUCGUCAAUCUUGGCGAGAUUUUUAUACAUCAACUCAUUCUUUAACUAAUUUUUCUGAAAAAUAUUAUGAAUACUUAAUUCAAAAUACAACUUUCAACAACGGAUCUCUUGGCUCUC
rnacentral:misc_RNA from 1 species